AGAAUAUUAUUGAUAUUUAUUUUUUGCCAGUUAGCUGCUUCGAUUCUUGGACAAAGACGUUGUCCUCUCGGAGUUCCAAGGGUGUUAUGUAAAAUUAAUCCCUGUGAUGAGCGCCCCAACACACCCUCAGGCUGGUGUUCAAACAUAAGAGGAGCUGUCUGUCGUCCAUACCAGUGUGGAGGAUGUUAUAGAAGAUUCUACUUUUUUGGGAUGAACGUCACCCGAUUUUGUAUUCCAAGAGAACCACCUUUAUAAUAAGAAAGGGCUUAAACGCAUUUAUAUAAGAUUUUGUUAAUAAUAAUAAUGUUCAUGUAGAAAGUAAAUAAAACAUAAUUGCAUCGCAAUAAAAUUAAUGACAUUUUAAAACAGU